rnacentral:rRNA from 1 species
AGUGAACGCUGGCGGUAGGCCUAACACAUGCAAGUCGAACGGCAGCACAGGAGAGCUUGCUCUCUGGGUGGCGAGUGGCGGACGGGUGAGGAAUACAUCGGAAUCUGCCCAGUCGUGGGGGAUAACGUAGGGAAACUUACGCUAAUACCGCAUACGACCUUCGGGUGAAAGAGGGGGAUCGCAAGACCUCUCGCGAUUGGAUGAGCCGAUGUCGGAUUAGCUAGUUGGCGGGGGAAUGGCCCACCAAGGCGACGAACCGUAGCUGGUCUGAGAGGAUGAUCAGCCACACUGGAACUGAGACACGGUCCAGACUCCUACGGGAGGCAGCAGUGGGGAAUAUUGGACAAUGGGCGCAAGCCUGAUCCAGCCAUACCGCGUGGGUGAAGAAGGCCUUCGGGUUGUAAAGCCCUUUUGUUGGGAAAGAAAUCUUUCAGGCUAAUACCCUGGGAGGAUGACGGUACCCAAAGAAUAAGCACCGGCUAACUUCGUG